rnacentral:misc_RNA from 1 species
UGAACAAGGAGCGAACUACAUGGUUUGGCUUCUCAACACUCUCAACCAUAUUGCUUGUGAAAGCUAAGCUACCAAGAGAAGGACCACCUGGGGAGCUCAAUGUGGUCGAAGAGAGGAAAUGUGUGAUUGGUGACCCAACUGGACUUCCAUUUUCCUUUGCUUGAAAGUACUUGGAUCGUGUUUCUAAUAAAGCACGUUCCAUGCGCUCAAUCCCAGCAUCUCCACUCAGGUGUUGUAUCUUUUCCCUCAAAAGCUUUUGAUCUUCUGUCACCUGUUUCUGAAUAGCUUUCAUAUCAUGACUGAGAGCAUCAGUAUCCCCUCCUGGUGUCAGCUUGCAUUUUUGAAUCAUAGAAA